AUUGAACGCUGGCGGCAGGCCUAACACAUGCAAGUCGAACGAGUGGCGGACGGGUGAGUUAUGUCUGGGAUACUGCCUGCUGGAGGGGGAUAACUACUGGAAACUGUAGCUAAUACCGCAUACCAUCAGAUGUGCCCAGAUGGGAUUUGCUUGUUGGUGGGGUAACGGCUCACCACGGCGACGAUCCCUAGCUGGUCUGAGAGGAUGACCAGCAACACUGGAACGGAGACGCGGUCCAGACUCCUACGGGAGGCAGCAGUGGGGAAUAUUGCACAAUGGGCGCAAGCCUGAUGCAGCCAUGGCGCGUGUAUGAAGAGGGGCUUCGGGUUGUAAAGUACUUUCAGCGGGGAGGCGUUACCCACAGAAGAAGCACCGGCUAACUCCGUGCCAGCAGCCGCGGUAAUUC
rnacentral:rRNA from 1 species